rnacentral:rRNA from 1 species
CAUUGCGCCCCCUGGUAUUCCGGGGGGCAUGCCUGUUCGAGCGUCAUUUCACCACUCAAGCCUCGCUUGGUAUUGGGCAACGCGGUCCGCCGCGUGCCUCAAAUCGACCGGCUGGGUCUUCUGUCCCCUAAGCGUUGUGGAAACUAUUCGCUAAAGGGUGCUCGGGAGGCUACGCCGUAAAACAAACCCAUUUCUAAGGUUGACCUCGGAUCAGGUAGGGAUACCCGCUGAACUUAAGCAUAUCAAUAAGCGGAGGAAAAGAAACCAACAGGGAUUGCUCUAGUAACGGCGAGUGAAGCAGCAAUAGCUCAAAUUUGAAAUCUGGCGUCUUCGACGUCCGAGUUGUAAUUUGUAGAGGAUGCUUCUGAGUAACCACCGACCUAAGUUCCUUGGAACAGGACGUCAUAGAGGGUGAGAAUCCCGUAUGCGGUCGGAAAGGUGCUCUAUACGUAGCUCCUUCGACGAGUCGA